UACGAAGGGGGCUAGCGUUGCUCGGAAUUACUGGGCGUAAAGGGCGCGUAGGCGGCACUGUUAGUCAGGCGUGAAAGUCCUGGGCUCAACCUGGGAACUGCGCUUGAUACGGCAGAGCUAGAGGAUGGAAGAGGCUCGCGGAAUUCCCAGUGUAGAGGUGAAAUUCGUAGAUAUUGGGAAGAACACCGGUGGCGAAGGCGGCGAGCUGGUCCAUUACUGACGCUGAGGCGCGAUAGCGUGGGGAGCAAACAGG
rnacentral:rRNA from 1 species